rnacentral:lncRNA from 1 species
CAGCAUUCAGGAAGCGUUUUUAAGGAUAACUUGGUGGGUGGGUGGGAAGCCAGUGAGCCAGGAGUGCUGUUUGGUCAGGGAUGAAAUCGUGGGAGCCAAAGCUAUCUUCUUGCACUCAGUUCCUGAGUGGAGGCCAAAAGAUAAGAUGGGCCAGUUUAUUGAUAUGGGUGGUGCCAGCUGAUCCAUCAAGUACAGGGUCUGCAAGUUAAACGCUGAUCUUAGAAGCAGUUUAGGGAGGGUCACAAUCUUGUAGCCUCCAGCUGCAUGACUCCUAAGUCAUAAUUUCUAAUCUCGUGGCUAAUGUUCGUCCUACAGGGCCAAUCUAGUCCCCAGGCAACAAAGAGGUGUGCUUUGGAAAAGGGCUAUCAUCUUUGUUUAAACUAUAAGUUUCUCCCAAAGUUCAGCCUAUGCCCAGGAAUGAAAAAGGACAGCUUGGAGGUUAGAAGCAAAAUGGAGUCAGUUAAAUCUCUUUCACUGUCUCAGUCAUAAUUUUGGAAAGGUGGUUUCAAGCUGGCACAACUGCACUCCACCCUAGGAGACAGAGCGAGACCCUGUCAAAAAAAAAAAAAAAAAACAAGAAGUGAAGUCAAGAUAGGAGGUAAAUUCGGAAGACAGGAAGUGGUGGUAGAAGACAAGAAGUGAAGUCAUACAGGAAGUAAAGUCAGAAGACAGGAAGUGAAGUAAGAAGACAGGAAGUGGUUGUAGAAGACAGGAAGUGAGGUCAUACAGGAAGUAAAAUCAGAAGACAGGAAGUGACGUCAAACCAGGAUUUGCAGUCGGAGGCAGGCAAGAAGUGAAAUCAGAAGACGGGAAGUGGCUGAGGGGAACGUCUUUUCUCUCUCCUGCUCAGCCCGAAGUGAACAGGUAGCAUCAGAGAUGAGAUCCUGGAUUGAAUGACUACUAUGGAAAGUGAUUGACCAAGGUAAGUCACAACUAUCUUGUUCUUUAAUUUUGGUGUUGUUUGUUAUGACUUGUUAGCCGUCUAGCACUCAUAGCUUUGCAUUUCCACUCUGCAUUACUUGUAUUUUUAUUAUUUUGUGAUAUUCGUAAUAAUUUAUUAUAAAACUGUGUUAUUUUUGGAUAUUUUUAAGUUAAAAUGCGAUUUUUUAACUAAGUGGCAGUAUGCAAAGCAAGUGGUUCAGAACUCUCCCCCAUUAAUAAGUCUUCUCUCCUGAAAGAAACAAUUUUGAGACUUCCUGUUCUUAAUUCUGUUUAACAGCAUACUUCUAAAAGAAAAAGUGUAUACUGUUAUUAUUUAUUGUGUUACAAAAAUAUACACGCACCUUUCAUGCACGUCCGUGUGAAGAGACCACCAAACAGGCUUUGUGUGAGC